AUCAUCACUAGUCCAGAUGUCUGUCCCCCAAUAUAUUUUUGUCACACAAUAUGCAUUUUAACCAGUUUCACAGGUGACUCUAUUGUACUCUAAACUUUGGGAGCCAUCACUGUCCGGUUUGGCUGAGCUUAUGCUUAACAACACCAAAACCUCGGUCACUUAACACAGUGAAAGUUCAGUCCUAGGACAUAACAAAUGCACCAGUGUUGGUGAAGGUCAGGGGUAAAGGGGUUUGCUUCCCAUAAUCUGUCAGGGACCCUGGCUGACAGAAGCUCCACAACCUUGAACAUCACUAGUCACUGUGGCAGGGGGAGAGUGUCCUGGAGAAACUUCACUCUUUAGAAGUAACAUAAAUCCCUGCUGUGCACGGCUCAUUGGCCAAAACCAACUAGGUGACCUCUCCUAAGAGCAAGGGGCUGGGUGUGCUAUGGGACUCGGAAGUAUAGUUUUCUGUGUGCCCAGAGGGAAUGUAAACCAUAAUGUAAGAAAAAGAAACUAAAAGAAAAUAAUAGAAUUCAAAGGGGAAUGCCUUUCUAAAGCACUAAAAAAAUUAAAACUUGUGAAGAAAAAAUGACAAGUAUAAUAUAUGAAAAUUAAGUUGAUAUGAAGCAAAGCAAGAAUGCAUGUGCCCUUGGCUUUUUGCCUUUUCUGUGAUGCUAUUUUGGAGUAUCUUCAUGUCUCCAGAUCACUCUUCAAGGCUAUGGCACCUAAUGGAUGCUGGUAGGGCUGAACAUCGCUGAAGUGAGAUGAGGGUCCAGCGCUCACUGUGCCAGUUUUACAAGACAAGAUGAAUCCAUCUCCCUGGUGCUCUGAGGGGCGGUGCUCAGGCAGAAUGUGGACGACUCACACAGGCCACACUCCUCUCCAGGGUGGUCUGACCUGGAUUUCUCUGCUCCUGCCUGCAGCAGGCACCAGACUCCCAAGCUGAUGGCCGGGCUGUCCUGGACAUGCUUACCUGGAGGAUGACAACUGUCCCAUUACAGAUGCAACACAGUCUGAAGGUUCACCCCAUCUCCUGCUCUGUCUUUCAUAGUUCCUAUAGAGAUCCAGGAGGAGGUUUGCACCAGAGCUGGAAAUAUAAGCUGCUUGAAGCCAAUGGCUUUUAUAUUUUGAAAAGGAUUAUAUUAUUCCUUGAUGAAAUCAAGCCAGAUAGAUGAGGAUGGGAAUGGAGGGUGUUUAAAGUUCCAGUAACAGAGAGAUGAGUAUUUCUCCCUAUCAGGACCCAAUGAAGAUUCUGUGGUGGGCUCAGAGAAACUGGGUUCCUGGUUGUGCUGAAGAUUCCCCUACCCAGAGGGUUAGAUGUAAGCAGCAAGGAAAAGGGAUCUGAAGGUGCUGUAUUGGUUCUGUAAGAGAGCACCUCAUCUCUAAGCAGUGUGGACAGACACCUUUUAUUUUGGUACUAGAUAAUACCUAGGAUGCUGUACAACUAAUGGAGAGUCCCCAGACUUACUGAAGUGGAUAUCCCACCAUGCUACAGUUGGAUCUCAGGGUCAUAAGGACAGGCUUUAUUUUGGUACUAGAUAAUACCUAGGAUGCUGUACAACUAAUGGAGAGUCCCCAGACUUACUGAAGUGGAUAUCCCCCCAUGCUACAGUUGGAUCUCAGGGUCAUAUUUAUGUUCAUUUAAAGGCAAUGUUUUUUAAAACAUGGCAUUUCUAACAUGUUCAAGCAUCUGAGCUAAGAUCUAUCUGUAUUCUAGGCCCCCUAUUCAGUUUCAGUAACAAACAAACAAACCCUUAUUUUACAGUGUAUUUUGUGAGUGUCAUGAGCUAUUACACAACUUCUCUGAAUGUAACAGUCCUUAAGAACCUUCUAGUUGGUCAGGCCCUAGGUCCUGCAGAAAUAUAAUAAUUCUAAGAAUAUAGGCAAACUAUGAACUAUAAUUAUUUUGAGAUAUGUGUGAGCUAGAAAUCUCUUCACUUGUUACCCCUGAUCCACUUUUCCUCCCUGGUCUGUGUCCUCCCAGGUUAGCAAUUCAGACUCCAUCAAAGGUUGUCCUUGUCCUUUGGCUUCUAGUUUGGCCAAAGGGAAAUACCCAGCAGAUUAAAAAGGGAAGGAACAGUGAGGUCAGGUAUUUCCCCCAUCCUGGAUUCUCUCUUCGAUUUUCUGUUGCGGUCUCUGUGAGCUGACUGCAUCCUGAAGUUCACAGAUACUGCCAGGUGGUUCUUUCCACACAGCCACCACUCCAGGAACCCCUCCCU